UUUCAUUCUUCACGCAACAUCGAUUUUCCCUAUUUCUUUACGCAAUAUCCAUUUAUCUUUCUUCUCUCUUACAAUUUUCACCCUAUUUCUUUUUUUUUUUUCUCAAACUCCUCUCUCUCACCCAAAUUGUAAAAUUUUUUGCUCAAUUCAGAUUGGAUGAUAUUCGGGUGUAUGAAGCCCCUGCGCUAAAUGUCACUGCUCUGAGGUUCACGGAGACAGCAAAGGCUAGGAUUGAGAAGGCGGGAGGAUAAUGCUUGACUUUUGACCAGCUUGCUCUUAAAGCUCCUCUUGGCCAGUACACAGUAUAGACUUUCAUCUCCUAUUCUCUCGUUCUCAUUUAUUGAUGAAUCCAAUAUUAAGUUUUUUGCUUUACAUGCUAUCACAAAAUACUGUGGUGGAUAUCAUUCUUUAAACUGAUGGUAACAAAUAACAAGUUUGAACUUAUUUACAAUGUCUCAUUUGGUUGCUAAAUUUCAGUGAGAAAAUAUUAAAAUGCUGAGAAAGCCUUUUUUUAUGCUCAAUUCAAACUGAAGAAAUCAAAGGUGAAUGAAUAUGACGAUAUAUAAAUACUUUUUUCAUCCUUUUACCUUUUCUGAUUAUGCUCACUAUUUCUAAAUAUUUUCUUCUAAUGCCUGGUUAGAAAUCCUUUCUCAGUAGGGGGUUUUGAAUUGUUCCCACUUGGUACACUAGAAGAGUUAACUUGUGGAAAAAUAGGUGUUCUUCUCCUCCUUGAAAGAAAGUCGUUCUAUUGCAGGAUAUUUGACGAUCAUUGUAUUCCAUCAGUAUUUUGCUUUCUCUGGUAUAAUUCAGAAUAAUUUUGUGAUAUGAUCCCACAAAUGGAGCCCUCGUUAAUUGAACUGGCUAGACAAUGAAUGGACGAAUUUACUGAACCAGCUGGUGUGCUGCUGGUACUCCUUAGAGGUCCAACAAAAUCUCAUGAAGCUGUGAAGCACGUUGGUCCGGCUCCUGGUGUACCACACAGUCACACAAAGCCUUGUGUCCGUGCCAAGGGAAGAAAAUUUGAGCGGGCUAGAGGAAGGAGAAACAGUCGAGGCUUCAAAGUUUCAAUUAUUACAGAAUUGAUGACAAAUUUUAUCUUUUCCAGAUUCCAAGCGAAAUGCUUUGGCAGUUUAGUUACUAUCGAUCCUUUUUGACAAUUUCUUUUCUUCAUCUUGGAAGCCAUUGUCUAUCUUUUGCACCCUCAUUAAGUGUACCUUUUAUAUUUGUACGAUAUGAAGUUUUGACCUUAGAAAAAUUUGGAAAUUAUUGCUGCGAAUCUCUAUAUGCAACUGGCUUCAUGUAGGCAUGUUUCAUAAAGUAGACAGGAUAACACCAUACAUAUCUAGAUUUUUCCCGAUUUUUAUAGUAACCCCGCUUCAUUAUAUGAAUAUUUGUGCUACAUUUACAUUCUUAUAUUUUUUUCACUCUUUCACAUGUCUAUAUUUACUAUCUUGAUUUUGAAUUUAUCCAUCACAAUACUGCACAGAUUUCUUCCACCCAGGGAGAAUGUCAAUCAAGUUGUCCUGCAAGAUGUAUAUAUAGCUUUAUCCUUACGAACCUUGGAUUCAUCCCCAUGCAACUAACUUGCAUAAAAAUUAUAUUAGACCAAUUGUUUCAUUAUCAAGUUUGUUGAUUGUGAUGAUUUAUU
rnacentral:lncRNA from 1 species